rnacentral:rRNA from 1 species
AUUGAACGCUGGCGGCAUGCCUUACACAUGCAAGUCGAACGGCAGCACGGGUGCUUGCACCUGGUGGCGAGUGGCGAACGGGUGAGUAAUACAUCGGAACAUGUCCUGUAGUGGGGGAUAGCCCGGCGAAAGCCGGAUUAAUACCGCAUACGAUCUACGGAUGAAAGCGGGGGCCCUUCGGGCCUCGCGCUAUAGGGUUGGCCGAUGGCUGAUUAGCUAGUUGGUGGGGUAAAGGCCUACCAAGGCGACGAUCAGUAGCUGGUCUGAGAGGACGACCAGCCACACUGGGACUGAGACACGGCCCAGACUCCUACGGGAGGCAGCAGUGGGGAAUUUUGGACAAUGGGCGAAAGCCUGAUCCAGCAAUGCCGCGUGUGUGAAGAAGGCCUUCGGGUUGUAAAGCACUUUUGUCCGGAAAGAAAUCCUUGGCUCUAAUACAGGCGGGGGAUGGCGGUACCGGAAGAAUAAGCACCGGCUAACUACGUG